rnacentral:rRNA from 1 species
GACGAACGCUGGCGGCGUGCUUAACACAUGCAAGUCGAACGGAAAGGCCCUGCUUUUAUAGGGUGCUCGAGUGGCGAACGGGUGAGUAACACGUGAGUAACCUGCCCUUGACUUUGGGAUAACUUCAGGAAACUGGGGCUAAUACCGGAUAGGAGCUCCUGCUGCAUGGUGGGGGUUGGAAAGUUUCGGCGGUUGGGGAUGGACUCGCGGCUUAUCAGCUUGUUGGUGGGGUAGUGGCUUACCAAGGCUUUGACGGGUAGCCGGCCUGAGAGGGUGACCGGCCACAUUGGGACUGAGAUACGGCCCAGACUCCUACGGGAGGCAGCAGUGGGGAAUAUUGCACAAUGGGCGGAAGCCUGAUGCAGCAACGCCGCGUGCGGGAUGACGGCCUUCGGGUUGUAAACCGCUUUCGCCUGUGACGAAGCGUGAGUGACGGUAAUGGGUAAAGAAGCACCGGCUAACUACGUG